ACGGAAGGCAGCAGUGGGGAAUAUUGCACAAUGGGGGAAACCCUGAUGCAGCGACGCCGCGUGAGUGAUGAAGUAUUUCGGUAUGUAAAGCUCUAUCAGCAGGGAAGAUAAUGACGGUACCUGACUAAGAAGCACCGGCUAAAUACGUGCCAGCAGCCGCGGUAAUACGUAGGUGGCGAGCGUUAUCCGGAAUUACUGGGUGUAAAGGGUGUGUAGGCGGAGAAGCAAGUCAGGCGUGAAAUUUGUGGGCUCAACCCACAAACUGCGCUUGAAACUGUUUCCCUUGAGAGUGGGAGAGGUAAACGGAAUUCCUGGUGUAGUAGUGAGAUGCGUAGAUAUCAGGAGGAACACCGGUGGCGAAGGCGGUUUACUGGACCACAACUGACGCUGAGACACGAAAGCGUGGGGAGCAAACAGGAUUAGAUACCCUGGUA
rnacentral:rRNA from 1 species